UACGUAGGGGGCGAGCGUUGUCCGGAAUCAUUGGGCGUAAAGAGCGUGUAGGCGGCUCGGUAAGUCCGGUGUGAAACCUCGGGGCUCAACCCCAAGCCUGCACUGGAUACUGUCGAGCUCGAGUCCGGGAGGGGAGAGCGGAAUUCCUAGUGUAGCGGUGAAAUGCGCAGAUAUUAGGAAGAACACCGAUGGCGAAGGCGGCUCUCUGGAACGGUACUGACGCUGAGACGCGAAAGCGUGGGGAGCGAACAGG
rnacentral:rRNA from 1 species